GGGGGUAUAGCUCAAGUGACAAGAGCGCAUGCUUAGCAAACACAAAGCCCUAGGUUCAAUCCCCAGUACCCUCU
rnacentral:tRNA from 1 species